ensembl:lncRNA
AGCAAUGAACACCCUAUUCAGUGGUCUUCACUGGUUCUCCAAUAUUUUCAACACCACUCUCGGGAUAGAAUUCUCCAUAUAAGUUCAACAAAGUGAGGCAAGUGAAGCGCUUGUCUGGAGUCACAGAGGUUAAGAGGAAGUGAAGGCGGAGUCUGAGCUUUGCCUAUGAUGAUGUCCAUAAGCACAAACAGAAUGCAGCAGGAGGGGUCCACCAGCCCCACCCACUGACAUCCUUCAGGUCAAAGUCCCAGUUGAUCGAAGCAACUGACACUUAAUCACUGCACAGGUACAUUCAGGGCUUUUCUAUGUCCAACUGCAGACCUGGACAGAGCUUUCUUCUGCUUAGCUUACUUGAAUUUGUGUUAAAGAAGCAGCAAGUCUCAGGUCGAUGCCAGGGGACCUUUAAAAGAAAGCAGUUGUAGAAUUAUUUCAAGGUGGUUCUUCAUAUUGCUGAAAUGCGUUCUCUCCCAGAAUGCAACUUUUAAAACUCACCAAAGAUUUAAGACGGUGGCUCCCUGAAUUUUGGCAAAGAUAGUAGAUAUUUUUCUAGCUUAUUAUUAUGAAACAGAGUCAUAGUGAAUGUCUACUUAGCAGGCACUGAAUGUAGCACUUGACAUGUACUGUGGCCAUGGCGUGUAAGGUUAGCACUUAUGUGCUUUUCACAGAUUUGGAACUUGAAGCUCCAAGUAUGUUAAAGAUCACACAGCUACUAGGCGGUGACUUGAGGACUGAAUCCCUGGUUUAUGCGAUUACAAAACUCUUAUUCUUCCUGGGGUCCCACUCUGAAUCCCACCACAGAGCUUCUAAAUACAAAUAAGGACAGAUAGCAACCUAUAGGAUGAGUCUCAGUUGUCAGUGUAUCCACUGAGAGCUUUUGGGUGGAAAAUGCUAAUGAAUGACAAGCAUUUCACCCCACUGCAACUUCUCUUCCAGCUUAUAUAAUUUUGAUGUCCAAGGGAAGACAAAUCGAGUGAUAGCAGAUUCUCUGUGUUUUCCAAACAAACAAGGUGUAGGAGGGUGGGGAAAUGGUGUGACCUUGUUCUUGAGAUCAGAGAUGCUCAAAGGCCUGGGAAAAGGCCCUCCAGGGAGGACACACUCACUGUUUCUCACCAGUUCAGCUCAGGGUCUGUUGUCUAAUCAUUUUCUUAUCACUAAAUAUUGCAUAUUUACACAGGUGCUUCUCUGCUUUAAUUGCCUGGAAGCAGUCACUGGGAGCAAGGCUGUGGGCCUGAGCUUGGGCGAUGUGGUCCAGCUGCAGUCUGACAGGACGGCUCCUGCAAGGAAAGGUGGUGAGAAGGGCAGUUCUGCCAUCAACACAGAAGUGACUCCAGAGUGCACCAUCUACAUUCACAAGCACAUCCGUGGAGUGGGCCUCUGGAAAUGUGCCCCAGGCACUCAAAGCGAUCCAGAAGACUGCUGUGAAGGAGAGGGGUCUCCAGAUGUACACACUGAUAGCAAGUUCAACAAAGCUGUCUGGCCAAAGGAGCAAGGAACAUCCUGGACCACAUCCACCAAACAAGCUCUACAUAUCUGGCAUCACUUAAAAAUCUGUAGACACAUAAUGUGGAUAAGUACUGGAUAUCUUUUAGGAGGCCAAAUCACAUGGGAGUCUCUUCCCCCAUAUUUCCUCUCAUGGCCCAAAUAUCCCUCUCCAAAGAUCCAGAUGCAAAAUGCAAAAGAGAGAACAAUUACGACAAUUUAUGCCUGAUGUCAGAUCUGAAAAGAGAUCUGACCCAGAGAG